rnacentral:tRNA from 1 species
GAGGGUAUAGCUCAGUGGUAGAGUGUGUGUUUAGCAUGCACGGGGUCCUGUGUUCAAUCCCUAGUACCACCA